UACGUAGGUGGCAAGCGUUGUCCGGAAUUAUUGGGCGUAAAGCGCGCGCAGGCGGUUCCUUAAGUCUGAUGUGAAAGCCCACGGCUCAACCGUGGAGGGUCAUUGGAAACUGGGGGACUUGAGUGCAGAAGAGGAGAGCGGAAUUCCACGUGUAGCGGUGAAAUGCGUAGAGAUGUGGAGGAACACCAGUGGCGAAGGCGGCUCUCUGGUCUGUAACUGACGCUGAGGCGCGAAAGCGUGGGGAGCAAACAGGAUUAGAUACCCUGGUAGUCAAGGGCG
rnacentral:rRNA from 1 species